GGAUAUCUCGGCUCUCGCAUCGAUGAAGAACGUAGCGAAAUGCGAUACUUGGUGUGAAUUGCAGAAUCCCGCGAACCAUCGAGUCUUUGAACGCAAGUUGCGCCCGAGGCCUUCUGGCCGAGGGCACGCCUGCUUGGGCGUCACGCCAAACACGCUCCCACCCC
rnacentral:rRNA from 1 species